UUAAAUUGAGAGUUUGAUCCUGGCUCAGGAUGAACGCUGGUGGCGUGCCUAAUACAUGCAAGUCGUACGCUAGCCGCUGAAUUGAUCCUUCGGGUGAAGUGAGGCAAUGACUAGAGUGGCGAACUGGUGAGUAACACGUAAGAAACCUGCCCUUUAGUGGGGGAUAACAUUUGGAAACAGAUGCUAAUACCGCGUAACAACAAAUCACACAUGUGAUCUGUUUGAAAGGUCCUUUUGGAUCGCUAGAGGAUGGUCUUGCGGCGUAUUAGCUUGUUGGUAGGGUAGAAG
rnacentral:rRNA from 1 species